AGUUCGGUCCCUAUCCGUCGCGGGCGUAGGAAAUUUGAGAGGAGCUGUCCUUAGUACGAGAGGACCGGGAUGGACGCACCGCUGGUGUACCAGUUGUUCCGCCAGGAGCACAGCUGGGUAGCUAUGUGCGGAAGGGAUAAGCGCUGAAAGCAUCUAAGCGUGAAGCCCCCCUCAAGAUGAGAUUUCCCAUCGCGUCAAGCGAGUAAGAUCCCUUGAAGAUGACAAGGUUGAUAGGUCCGAGGUGGAAGCGUGGCGACACGUGCAGCUGACGGAUACUAAUCGAUCGAGGACUUAACUAAG
rnacentral:rRNA from 1 species